UAAGACAUUAUCUGAAGAUUUC
rnacentral:miRNA from 1 species